GUGUAAGAGUUAUGUACUACAGUGAACCUCGCAUGACCUUUAAUGUGACCAAGGGCUCUACGACAAGCUGGUGCACUGGCUUUUCCUGGGGCCCAAAACGCACCACACAGAAAUAAUUCCUGCUUUUUAAUCACUCCGUGAGGUCUGUCCUGUAAAGUACUUAAACUCAAUUCAGCCUGCAAGUUAGGCUAGCAUAACUAGGGUGGACUAACAGCAAAACUGCGAUACUAUGUGGUAUUUUGGCAGAUGUUUACAGGCUGUAAAAACUUAUUUAAUGCUCAGAAUCACUUAAGACAUUCAGGAAGUACUGACUUUGAUUCCAGCUAUAGCGUUAUGCACUCAUAUAGUCUGUGACUAUCCGAGAAGUAAUUACGAUAUUUGUUCCUACGCGUUGGGGGGUUGUGUCAAGUUGAAAAGUAGCUUUAAUGAUCGACUGUUUUGACAAAGAAGAAGAAGAAGAACAAGAAGAAGAAGAAGAAGAAGAAGAAUUUUCAUAAUAAUCACCAAUCACAACAUAACCAGUCUAGCCGCAUCAAGUCAUUAGCUCAAGUAAUCCACUUGUGGCUUGGUGCCUUGAUUAUGCGAUCACACCAAGGGACUAAAGACUAAACCUGGUUCAGCACAGACCGCAGGAGCAGCACAGUAGGAGUAUCUUCAUACACAAGGCCUCUGCGGUGAGUUACUGGGUGCUGCUGUGUGCUGGAGAUACCUUGAAGGUCUUGAGCUGAUCUUGGUGGACUGGUGGAGGAUGACACAGAACAAAUGGCUGUUUAAAUACUCACUGAAGCUGAGAACUGACAGCCAAACAACUUGGGAACUGGUGACUGGAUAAACGAGGUGACCGCGAACAGUCAUGGGAUGUGGCGUCACAAAGUCUAACCAUUUCCACAAACAUUCCAGAAAAG